UACGUAGGGUGCGAGCGUUGUCCGGAUUUAUUGGGCGUAAAGAGCGUGUAGGCGGUUCGGUAGGUCCGUUGUGAAAACUCGAGCUCAACCUCGAGACGCCGAUGGAAACCCCCGAACUAGAGUCCGGAAGAGGAGAGUGGAAUUCCUGGUGUAGCGGUGAAAUGCGCAGAUAUCAGGAAGAACACCCGUGGCUAAGGCGGCUCUCUAGUACGGUACUGACGCUGAGACGCGAAAGCGUGGGGAGCGAACAGG
rnacentral:rRNA from 1 species